rnacentral:tRNA from 1 species
GGGAAGGUGGCUCAGUGGUAGAGUGCUUGCCUUGCAUGCAUGAGACCCUGGUUCGAUUCCUCAGUACCA